rnacentral:lncRNA from 1 species
CUGCAUAGGGUGUGACUAUCAGGAACCAUGGCUCACUGGAGCACCAUCUUUGGAGUCUAGCUAACACAGCAUCUUGGAUGCACUCCUAAGAGAAGACUACCUGAAAGGCGUGUACACUGGUCUAGCAGUUGAGAUCAGCUAGUGUUCCAUCUAUCUUCUGUCAUGUAUCUCUUCUAAGAUGUCUUGAUCGACUGACCCCAAAGCCAGAGGGUACCAGGUCAAAAAGCAAGAAAACAAACAAUACUGACAUUAGAGAGAAGCAAAGUUUCUAUAGAAAACCUAUUACACUGUGGUAUAAAUCAAGAUGAACCUGCAGACAUCUAUUUUAGUUUGGAAGUCUGGAAAAGUUCAAGAUUGGCCAUCUGCAGCUGGUGAGAGCCUCAGGCUGCUUCCCCUCAUGGUGGAAGGUGAAGGGGAGCUGGUGUGUGCAGAGAUUACAUGCUUUUCUAGGUCAUCAUUCUAGGCUUUGUUGAAGCAUGCAUUUUUGGCAUGAGGGUGGCAGCCUUUGCACUAUGUGCAUGGCUGAGGAGUUAGGAUCUGGAGGGUGAUGAAAGCAAAGGUGCUGCUGGUUACUCUUGGUUCAUCUAGCAAUAGAUGAUCUGAAUGUUAGAGUUCGCCAAAUAUUGUUCCUGGGCAGUCUUUGCUCUACCAAAUCAACUUUCUCCAUGGGGGAGCUAGAAGUCACCCCACAUUCUCCGCCAUGGCCAGCUCUACAUUCUAAGAGAACCAAUGGCUCUACCCAACAUAUUCUUCUCACCACAGAUGACAAAGACACAAGGAGCCAAGACAGAUCAUUCAAGCAUAUUCAUUGCCUCUAUCUUCAUCCCAUUAAAUAACAUCCCGCCAACCAAAGCAAGUUAUCUGCAUAAGAAUAAAUAUUCCACCUACUCUACUGCAAGGCCCUGCAAGAGUCAUGAGACAAAAGGAUCCUCUGUGGACAGCACCCAAGAUGGAAACAACUGACAGUCUAUGGCCAGGGCUAUACUCUGGUGAAACUGAAAGGUGUCUGCAUGGAAGUGUCUGACUACCACCAUCCACUCAGGCAAAUGCAUUUGUUUCCCUCUAUUCAUUAUUAGAAGAGAGGAGAUUACAUACCAGACAUAUACCAAUAGGUUUUCUCUUCAUAAUACCUACGUCAUCUAGUAGCAUAACAUAAGGCAGAAUCCUUCAAAGGUUGACUCCUAGAGAUGGAAGAGCUGUAAGCAGAGACAGAAAAGUAUGUUUUCACACAAACUCUUUGGCUCAUUAGCAG